CCAUGAAAAAUGGCCUAGCCUGGGAAAUUGAUAAUUUCUGUAUAUAAUAAUCUUCGGGAUAUAGGCUUUCUAGAAAUGUUUUUCUUUUUUUCAUAUAUUCUAUACUUUUUUGUUAAUAUGACGUUGAAUAUUGUGGUAUUUAAUGUUAAAAAAUUAACAUUUCGGGAUACACGUCACAACAAUAAACCUCCAAUGACCAUGUACAAUGUACAUGAACCUAUAAAUCUCUGAAUUUAUCAAGUUAUAUGCACUCAAAUAGCUAGAAUGGCUUAUUCAAUGAUCAUAAUAAGCAUUUUUGACCAAAUUUGGGAAAUAGAAAUAAGAAAUAUUUUGGAAAUGAUGUUCAAAGCCGUGAUUGUUCAACUUUACUUUUAAAUUAUUUUUACUUGAAUUUUAAAAUACUGAAAUAAGAAGAAUAAAUAUAGUAUGUAGUUUAUUUACAUGGUGAAAGAAGUGAAUCAUUGGAACAAUUCUGUUUCAUAUCAUAUUCCAUAGUUUUGGGGUUUUUUGUUUUCUUUCUUAUUUUUUUUUUUUUUAGUAUUAAAACGACCGAGUAUCGAAAGCAAUGGUAACGAAAUAAGUUGACACCGCGUCUCGUCAAAACAUGUUCAAUUCGAAUUUACUCGGAAUUACACGUUCAACGAGCAUUUGCUGUGAAACCUGAUUAAAGGAAAAUUACUGUAGACACCUAAUAGUGAUUUGUACAGAAGCGAGCCCCGGCAGGAAUGAUGGCCUCUUUUGAAAUGAAGAUUUCAUGCCUUACUCCUACUGGGACUACAACUAACUUUGGACCUGGUCACUCGCAGAUACAGCAUGAAGUGUGCCCUCUUGAUGUACAUGGGGAUGGGAGUGAUACAGAAGGGGGACUAAUUGGAAGAACUGCUGCUGGUGGUGGUGGUGCUGGACUGUCUUGAAUCUGUUGCCUAACCGACUUGAUAUUCUUCUGUUUAAUAUGGGAGCAACACACACACUCUGGCAUAUAUUGCACAGAAAAUCAUGAUCAGAUGGUGCCCUCCCUAUCAGAGUGGUGAUCACUGACCUAUAUUUCUUUGAAAUCCUGGAUCUGUGUUUUGGUUUUACUCUCCAUGGACAGUUGAAACAGAGAAAGAAUUAGGGACCACUCCUUGGCAUAUCUGAAAUAUUUAUGUCAUAUACAUGUAAUUAAAAUAUACAAUUUGGGUUGGAUGAAAAUCUUAUCUUCAUGUUAAAACCCAUUAGCCUAGGUUAUUUUUCCUAAAAUCUAAUUAUAAAUCAAUUAACUUGUUAAUUAAUGCUUGGUGAAUCAAUUAAUAAAUUGUAUUCAAGAACUUGGAAUUAUUUUUUUUCCCACUAAUAAACUGAAAAUGUGUAUCUUCAAA